UACGGAGGAUGCGAGCGUUAUCCGGAUUUAUUGGGUUUAAAGGGUGCGUAGGCGGGCUGUUAUGUCAGCGGUAAAAGCCCGGGGCUCAACCCCGGCGAGCCGUUGAAACUGGCUGUCUUGAGAUGUCGAGAGGUAUGCGGAAUGCGCAGUGUAGCGGUGAAAUGCUUAGAUAUUGCGCAGAACUCCGAUUGCGAAGGCAGCAUACCGGCGGCGAUCUGACGCUGAGGCACGAAAGCGUGGGUAUCGAACAGG
rnacentral:rRNA from 1 species